UGGGUGGCCUUUGCUUGUAGCUAUUCUUUCUUCUCCACUAAUCCUUAUGGGCUUAUGGCGGCGGCGGAAGGAGUCGUGCUUAGCCACAUCGCGAGGGCAUUGCCCUACGUCAAGCAUCUCGCUGUGUUCUACCACGAGGUGUUAGGGUUCGAGUGGAUCGACACCCCCCAAGUUCGGUGAAUUCGAGGUGCCUUCCGCCGUCUUUCUCUCUGCUUCUCGUCGAGACCCUGCCGAGGAGACACCACAUCUUCUUCGGCGUCUCCAACUAUGAUGCUUUUGUACAAUCUUUGAAGGCUCGAUCGUUGCUGAGAUUAUUCUGCUUUAUUCGCUCCUUCAAUUGUUUGUUAAGGUAGUUCGGAGUAGUAUGUCAUAAAUUUAGUAUCUUUAUAGUCUGAGGUGAUUCUGCUGCUGUCAUAGUCUGAGAGGUGAAACGUAAUUAAACAUAUGGGGAAAGGAUUGUCAAUUUCAUGGACAAUGUGCUUUGUUGGUGGCUGAGGGUGGAAUGUCUAGAAGAUUAUAGCUCUGAAACAAGGAUUGCUCAUGACUCAGCAUUGAUGCUUAGAAUAAAGGAAUAAGCGAAAAUGAAAAAGAAAAAGGCAGAGGAAUCGACUAAAAAGUGUGGACAAAAAGAGGAUCAAGAUCAAGCAUUAUGCUGACUGGAGGCUCCGUAUCCAGUCUCCUUCCCCACCAGAACGAUAAACAUGAUUGGAAGGAGCUGUGGCUAAGCAGCAAUCAUAUCCGAACAAAACAAUCCAAGAAAUCAACGACGACCGCAAUUAGAAAACCUCAACGAUCGCCGUGAAGAACCACAAGAAGAUCACCAGCAUUGCGUCCGACGGCGCAACCGCCGACGCCGCCACGCCAUUUGACACGAUCUGGAUCGUAAAGUUACAUUCCGGCGUCGACGGGUCCUGCGUUGUCUCCACCGCCAGCCCCUGGAAGUUGCAGCUCGGCGCUUGUUGGUUCUGCACCUGGAAAUACAUAUUAAACGCGAACGACGCAUUCCCGUUCGCAUCCAGCCCGUUGCAGCUCGACCCGUACCCCAGCGCCGUGCAAUCCGACCUCGAGCACGCGUAGUUGAUAUUGUCCCCGAGCUUGCUCACGUCGCCGGCGCCGCCGGCGGCGAAGACGCACCACGUCUUCGGCAAGUACUCCACGUUGCUGGCCGCCACCGGUAGCACCUCCUGCCCCUGCCCGGAAUCCAGCG